AACGAACGCUGGCGGCAGGCUUAACACAUGCAAGUCGAAGGUGAAGCCGGACUUCGGUCCGGUGGAAACUGGCGCACGGGUGAGUAACGCGUGGGAUAUGCCCUAGGGUACGGAAUAACCGUUGGAAACGACGGCUAAUACCGUAUGCUCCCUCCGGGGAAAAGCUUCGGCGCCCUUGGAUUAUCCCGCGUCCGAUUAGCUUGUUGGUGAGGUAACGGCUCACCAAGGCUCCGACCGGUAGCUGGUCUGAGAGGACGAUCAGCCACACUGGGACUGAGACACGGCCCAGACUCCUACGGGAGGCAGCAGUGGGGAAUAUUGGACAAUGGGGGCAACCCUGAUCCAGCCAUGCCGCGUGAGUGAAGAAGGCCCUAGGGUUGUAAAGCUCUUUCAGCGGGGAAGAUGAUGACGGUACCCGCAGAAGAAGCCCCGGCUAACUCCGUG
rnacentral:rRNA from 1 species